rnacentral:tRNA from 1 species
UCCCAAGUGGCUCAAAGGUAAAGAAUCUGCCUGCAAUGCAGGAGACUCAGCUUUGAUCCCUGGAUUGGGAA